UGGGGAAUAUUGGACAAUGGGCGAAAGCCUGAUCCAGCAAUGCCGCGUGAGUGAUGAAGGCCUUAGGGUUGUAAAGCUCUUUUACCAGGGAUGAUAAUGACAGUACCUGGAGAAUAAGCUCCGGCUAACUCCGUGCCAGCAGCCGCGGUAAUACGGAGGGAGCUAGCGUUGUUCGGAAUUACUGGGCGUAAAGCGUACGUAGGCGGUGACUCAAGUCAGAGGUGAAAGCCUGGAGCUCAACUCCAGAACUGCCUUUGAAACUAGGUCGCUAGAAUCACGGAGAGGUGAGUGGAAUUCCGAGUGUAGAGGUGAAAUUCGUAGAUAUUCGGAAGAACACCAGUGGCGAAGGCGGCUCACUGGACGUGUAUUGACGCUGAGGUACGAAAGCGUGGGGAGCAAACAGGAUUAGAUACCCUAGUAGUCCCUGAGCGGGCUGGCAAGGCGCAU
rnacentral:rRNA from 1 species